ensembl:processed_transcript Gm16169 predicted gene 16169
CAGACAACAAUUGGCAUUCAGGAUCUAAGGCACAGGAAAGUGAAAGAGAGGAAACAGCAGAUAAGAUCAUGUUGUCCUCUAAGAGGCUCCACCCAGCAGCUGACUCAGACAGAUGCAGAUACUCACAGCCAAACAGUGGAUGGAGCUUGGGGACUCUAAUGGAAGAAUGGGAAGAAGGAUUGUGGGCCAAAAAGGGAAGAACACACUUUUAAAGAUUUGGCCAUUUUAUCCUGCAUAUGGUGCUAGAAAAUGACACCAUUACCCAAGGUCCUAAAAACUCAAGUUGGCCAAACUCUGACCUCCAUGUGCUUCUUCUCAUCAUCACAUGCUCACCCCACAGUCACGCAUGGGACUUCAUGAGACACCCUCCCUCCCCAGGAGGCAGAUGUUAUUUAAGUGUAGUCUUAUGAAGAAAUCACAGGUAAUGUGAAGCUAUUUCCCUGAAUUCUCUUAAGAAACUUCACUGUAUGGGCACUAACUAUGAAAAAAAUACAUAUUUAUACUUAUGUUCGUUGACUAGGUCCACUCUCACCCUUGGCUAGAGAAACUUAUUUUUUAGUGGGCAGCAGUAAUUGCAGAAUCAAAACUGCUCAAAGUACUGAGAAUUAGUGGCUGUCCUUGCUCAGCAUUAAGUUAGACAUGUAUGCCAACCUUAUGCCACCAACUGUCACCAAGGUUCAGGGAAUAUCACAGAAGCAGCAGCAGAGAGUUGCUGGGAAAUUCUUUCCUCUGAACAUGACAUGGCUAAUACACUAUGAACUCAUAGUGUAAUACCAGUGGUGCUUAUCUGCACGAAGAUCAAGCCAAACAAAAGUGAAGAAUAGAGAGGGAGGAGCUUACAAGGCUCCUCCCCUGACAGAUUAGCAUUUGAUAGCUUUUCGGGGAGGGAGAAUCUUUCUUCUUCAGGGGGAAGUGGCCAUGACAAACAAUGCAAAGCUGGAGAUCCUUGUUGGGAGAGAUCCAGGAGGAGUUGGAGGGGUGAAAGAUCAUAUUUAAUUUAUGCAUAUACAUAAAGAUAUUAAAGAAUAAACUGUUAAAAGAAAAACACAUAUUAAAUCCACAAAUAAACCUUUUCCAGAGAAUGAAAUAAUUGAAAUAGCAUAGAUAAACUUCAUUGAUUUGGAAUCCCUCAAGAAAGUUUGAGUGAAGAUAGCUUCUGAUACUUUCCUUACUUUCAGAACUAAACCAAAACUUGAUAGGUCCUGUGACUUGGAUAAGGGAAGCAAGAGGAAAUCAUUUGAACUUGUCUCUCCUUGUUAAAUGUUGGGUCGGAUGGCAAGGUCCUGAGCACCAAGAAUAGCAGUGUGAACUGUAAGUCAGUCUAUUCACGAUGGCAAAAAUAUUAGAGGAGAACUCUUUCUAGUGGAUGCUCUAGUAGUUCUGGGUGCUUAUUCAAUAGAAGCAAAGUCAGCUGAUUGCAGGGCAGAGCUUCUCAAACUGUUUCCAUCUAUGACCGAUUUAACCUGCACAAUUUUAUAUAGCUCUCAGUAUUUUUAGGCAUAUAAGAUAGUGUGUAAAUUACAUAAACACUGAUCAUAAAUCAUAAAUACAUCUAUUUUAAAGUAAUUCAUUGUCCCAAAAUAACCUGGAGGGUCUUGUGCCAGCAGGAACAGGGACAAAGGAAACCCACUAGAUCAGUGACUGGGGUUCCUUCCGGUGGCACCAGCCCCACACCAUCUUGGGUGCAAACUCGGUGGAGGGUGACAAGGUCCCCAGAGGAUACUUUCCACACUGCAGGCUCCCUAGAAUACCCAGGAUCUUGAGAUUACUGGUGAGUGGAAUGCAACAUCUGUUCCAAAACAACCCAGAGGCUCAUGGAAGCUAAACAACACUCUACUCAAUGAUGCCUUGGUUAAGGACGACGUAAAGAAAGAGAUUAAAGACUUUUUAAAGUUUAAUGAAAAUGAAGCCACAACAUACCCAAACUUAUGGGACAAAAAGAAAGCAUUCGUAAGAGGAAAAAUCAUAGCUAUGAGUGCCGCCAAAAAGAAACUAGAGAGAACAUACACUAUCUGCCUGACAGCACACCUAAAAGCUCUAGAACAAAAGAAAGCAAAUUCACCCAAGAGAAGUAGAUGGCAGGAAAUAAUGAAACUCAGGGCUAAAAUUGACCAAGUCGAAACAAAAAAAAA